UACGGCUCAGUAACACGUGGACAACCAACCCUCCGGAGGGGGAUAACCCCGGGAAACUGGGGAUAAUACCCCAUAGACCAGGGAUGCUGGAAUGCCUCCUGGUUCAAAGGUCCGCCGCCUGAGGAUGGGUCUGCGGCCGAUUAGGUUGUUGUUGGGGUAACGGCCCAACAAGCCUUUGAUCGGUACGGGUUGUGAGAGCAAGAGCCCGGAGAUGGAUUCUGAGACACGAAUCCAGGCCCUACGGGGCGCAGCAGGCGCGAAAACUUUACAAUGCGAGAAAUCGUGAUAAGGGAACCCCGAGUGCCCGUAAAUUCGGGCUGUCCGCCAGUGCAAAAAGCUGGUGAAGAAAGGGCCGGGCAAGACCGGUGCCAGCCGCCGCGGUAAUACCGGCGGCUCGAGUGGUGGCCACUAUUACUGGGCUUAAAGCGCCCGUAGCUUGAUCGUCAACCCCCCCGCAAAACCCCCCACGUCCAC
rnacentral:rRNA from 1 species